CUCCGUAGGUGAACCUGCGGAAGGAUCAUUA
rnacentral:ncRNA from 6 species